CUGACACAGGGAGGUAGUGACAAUAAAUAACAAUGCCGGGCCUUUACAGGUCUGGCAAUUGGAAUGAGAACAAUUUAAAUCCCUUAUCGAGUAUCAAUUGGAGGGCAAGUCUGGUGCCAGCAGCCGCGGUAAUUCCAGCUCCAAUAGCGUAUAUUAAAGUUGUUGCAGUUAAAAAGCUCGUAGUUGGAUUUCUGGCAGGAGCGACCGGUCACACACUCUGUGUGUGAACUUGUGUUGUCUCUGGCCAUCCUUGGGGAGAUCCUGUUUGGCAUUAAGUUGUCGGGCAGGGGACAUCCAUCGUUUACUGUGAAAAAUUGAGUGUUUAAAGCAGGCUUAUGCCGUUGAAUAUAUUAGCAUGGAAUAAUAAGAUAGGACUUCGGAACUAUUUUGUGGUUUGCGUUACGAAGUAAUGAUUAAUAGGGACAGUUGGGGGUAUUCGUAUUCAAUUGUCAGAGGUGAAAUUCUUGGAUUUGUGGAAGACGAACUACUGCGAAAGCAUUUGCCAAGGAUG
rnacentral:rRNA from 1 species